rnacentral:rRNA from 1 species
AGCAGUAGCCACGGUAAAACGGAGGGUGCAAGCGUUAUCCGGAUUCACUGGGUUUAAAGGGUGCGUAGGCGGAUCUGUAAGUCAGUGGUGAAAUCUCCAGGCUUAACCUGGAAACUGCCGUUGAUACUAUAGGUCUUGAAUUUUGUGGAGGUUAGCGGAAUAUGUCAUGUAGCGGUGAAAUGCAUAGAUAUGACAUAGAACACCAAUUGCGAAGGCAGCUGGCUACACAACUAUUGACGCUGAGGCACGAAAGCGUGGGGAUCAAACAGGAUUAGAUCCCCGUAGUCCCUGUCUCUUAUACAC